AUUGAACGCUGGCGGCAGGCUUAACACAUGCAAGUCGAGCGGAGUGAUGGUGCUUGCACUAUCACUUAGCGGCGGACGGGUGAGUAAUGCUUAGGAAUCUGCCUAUUAGUGGGGGACAACAUCUCGAAAGGGAUGCUAAUACCGCAUACGUCCUACGGGAGAAAGCAGGGGAUCACUUGUGACCUUGCGCUAAUAGAUGAGCCUAAGUCGGAUUAGCUAGUUGGUGGGGUAAAGGCCUACCAAGGUGACGAUCUGUAGCGGGUCUGAGAGGAUGAUCCGCCACACUGGGACUGAGACACGGCCCAGACUCCUACGGGAGGCAGCAGUGGGGAAUAUUGGACAAUGGGGGGAACCCUGAUCCAGCCAUGCCGCGUGUGUGAAGAAGGCCUUAUGGUUGUAAAGCACUUUAAGCGAGGAGGAGGCUCUUUUGGUUAAUACCCAAGAUGAGUGGACGUUACUCGCAGAAUAAGCACCGGCUAACUCUGUGCCAGCCGCCGCCGUAAAAC
rnacentral:rRNA from 1 species